CUUUCUCUCUCCAUAACUCGCUCUCCCUUCAUCGGAGUUGUUUUUAUCCUCAUCUCUCUCGUCUCCUUUAUUGAGCUACAACGGCGAUGAACCACGACUGGGAGCACCGUGCAUAGUGGAGCUUCUCUUCAUCGGACCACAUCGGAUACAGGGACGGUGCCGAUAGUCGCUGCAAUGCUGCUCUUUGCGCAAAAUGGGCACUGCUGCAGUUCAAGCGCUGAUAGUGUGCUACGGGUGGUUGGGGUAGGUACUGGUGGAUCUACGACAAGGUAACGUGGUUUUGGUUUUGGUUUUGUUUGUUGGAGUGGUGGUGAUGGCUUUUUUGGUCUACUGUUGGUAUGGUGGUUAGUUGCGGUGAUAGUGGUAUCGUGAUGAUUUUUUCUUGCCUAUUCUGUGAAGGAGUGUUUAGGUGUGGUGGUG
rnacentral:lncRNA from 1 species